rfam:Salmo salar isolate Sally breed double haploid chromosome ssa01, whole genome shotgun sequence.
GAAUGUAUUUACUGUAAGUCGCUCUGGAUAAGAGCAUCUGCUAAAUGGCUAAAA